UACAGAGGGUGCAAGCGUUAAUCGGAAUUACUGGGCGUAAAGCGUGCGUAGACGGUUGCGUAAGUCAGAUGUGAAAGCCCCGGGCUCAACCUGGGAAUUGCAUUUGAGACUGCGUAGCUAGGGUGCGGAAGAGGGAAGCGGAAUUUCCGGUGUAGCGGUGAAAUGCGUAGAUAUCGGAAGGAACACCAGUGGCGAAAGCGGCUUCCUGGUCCAGAACCGACGUUCAGGCACGAAAGCGUGGGGAGCAAACAGG
rnacentral:rRNA from 1 species